CUGCGAAUAUUCCUGCUCUUCUGAUUUGAUAAUAAUCAGGCAGGAUAAACAUAAGCUAUAUAAAAAAACCAGGCAUGGGCCCACAAACCUCGCUCUUUCCCUAGGUUUGGUUUUAUACAUGCUGGUGAUAAGC